rnacentral:rRNA from 1 species
CGCGAUUCGCCCUUCGGGGUGCCCAGGCGCGAAAACUUUACAAUGCUGGAAACAGCGAUAGGGGGACUUUGAGUGCCAGGAUACAAUUCUGGCUGUCGUCGUGCCUAAAAAGCACGGCAUAGCAAGGGCCGGGCAAGACCGGUGCCAGCCGCCGCGGUAACACCGGCGGCUCGAGUGGUAACCGCUAUUAUUGGGUCUAAAGGGUCUGUAGCCGGCUGAAAAAGUCUCUUGGGAAAUCCGGCAGCUUAACUGUCGGGCUUUCAGGAGAUACUCUUCGGCUCGAGACCGGGAGAGGUGAGAGGUACUUCAUGGGUAGGGGUGAAAUCUUGUAAUCCUUGAAGGACCACCAGUGGCGAAGGCGUCUCACCAGAACGGAUCUGACGGCAAGGGACGAAAGCUAGGGGCACGAACCGGAUUAGAUACCCGGGUAGUCCUAGCCGUAAACGAUACUCGCUAGGUGUCGGCCACGGUGCGACCGUGGUCGGUGCCGUAGGGAAGCCGUGAAGCGAGCCACCUGGGAAGUACGGCCGCAAGGCUGAAACUUAAAGGAAUUGGCGGGGGAGCAC